rnacentral:tRNA from 1 species
GAUAAAUUGCCUGAUUAAAGGAUUAUUUUGAUAGAAUAAAUUAUACAUUGUUAUGUAUUUAUCA